UACGUAGGCAGCGAGCGUUGUUCGGAGUUACUGGGCGUAAAGGGUGUGUAGGCGGUUGUUUAAGUUUGGUGUGAAAUCUCCCGGCUCAACUGGGAGGGUGCGCCGAAUACUGAGCGACUAGAGUGCGGGAGAGGAAAGUGGAAUUCCUGGUGUAGCGGUGAAAUGCGUAGAUAUCAGGAGGAACACCAGCGGUGUAGACGGCUUUCUGGACCAUUGCUGACGCUGAGACACGAAAGCGUGGGUAGCAAACAGG
rnacentral:rRNA from 1 species